rnacentral:rRNA from 1 species
AUUGAACGCUGGCGGCAUGCCUUACACAUGCAAGUCGAACGGUAACAGGUCUUCGGAUGCUGACGAGUGGCGAACGGGUGAGUAAUACAUCGGAACGUGCCUAGUAGUGGGGGAUAACUACUCGAAAGAGUGGCUAAUACCGCAUGAGAUCUACGGAUGAAAGCAGGGGAUCGCAAGACCUUGUGCUACUAGAGCGGCCGAUGGCAGAUUAGGUAGUUGGUGGGAUAAAAGCUUACCAAGCCGACGAUCUGUAGCUGGUCUGAGAGGACGAUCAGCCACACUGGGACUGAGACACGGCCCAGACUCCUACGGGAGGCAGCAGUGGGGAAUUUUGGACAAUGGGCGCAAGCCUGAUCCAGCAAUGCCGCGUGCAGGAUGAAGGCCUUCGGGUUGUAAACUGCUUUUGUACGGAACGAAAAGCCCUGGGUUAAUACCUGGGGUCGAUGACGGUACCGGAAGAAUAAGGACCGGCUAACUACGUGCCAGCCGCCGCGGUAAUAC